AGGAAACAACUAUUUUGGUCAUGUCACCUGUGAGUCGGGGACUGCUAAAAUAUAAAAGACACUAUAUUAUUAUAUUUGAAAUCUAAGUCGGUAAAUGUGAGUGAAUUAGCUUUGUUGGGUGCGUUGUAACUGGAACAGUGGUUUAUCUGUCAAUUGCAUUCAAAUCAGUUACCACUACGUCAUCUGUUAUUUCAUUUAGACGGAAAAAUUAUCGGACCUAAAUGCUUUUAAGGCGCCAUCGGAUCUCAAUUAUAAAUUUGUCAAACAAUGCCGAUAGUCGAAUUUACCGUUAUACCUACAUUAUUAUCUGAAAUAACUAGCUAAUAUGGAAGCUGGAGCCCUAAACCAUUCUAGAUGACUAACAGCGAAUCAUUCUAAAAUUGUAUACCACUUGAACUGACCCAGAAGAAAAGCUAGUUGUAUUAGCCACGUAUGUUAUGAAAGUUCAUGGACCAAUGUGGUUUACAAUAAAACGUAAUUCUUCAUACAUUAACGGAGCCAAAAACAUAUGGCAAACCAUUAAUCUAUGUCGUUAUUUGAAUUCCAAUAUGAAAGUCAUCGUUGACAAGGUAAUCCAACGAAAUGGAUACUUUGGUCACCCAGAAAAUCUUCUCAUUGCCAUGCUUGGUGAUGACAGAGAGAUUUUAAGAGGUCUUGCAUAUCGAAGAAUUGUAAAACAAAGAUCAGAGAAAGCUCGAAGACUUCGAACCUUUAAAGUACCUACAUUCAAUUUCGAUGCCUAAGAUUACACUGAGAUUAUUAUGUGGCAAGACUCCGAUAUAACUAAUGAAUCUCUAACUUUAAAAAUGUUUGAUGAAACCUUGAAAAACAUUGUCAACCGUUUUUGGUACAUGUAAGGAUAUUAUAGAUUUUCUAUGCCACACCCAAGCUGUGGAGCGCUGCAUCAAGUUGAUAACAGAAGCAUCGAACGCAGUUUGUGGGGAAAAUAAACGAGAUGGCUUCAUUAGGGCAAGACUGCUAUCACGUCCACGAAUGCCUCAUUUCAAUACAAAAAAAAAAGUUUUUUAAGAGAAUAUUUUUUCGUAAUAAAUGCUUAGAAUGGCAUUUUUUUUGUUUUAUUUAAAUGCUUGACUGUACUGGGGCACCUCAAAACAUUAAGCCAGCUGUUUGGUAUUUUGCAUAUUUGUUUUAUAUAUUAAAAGGCAACUUUUCAUAGCUAUGCCGUUAAAAACCAGAAAAAAAAUUUUUUCUCCAUUCAUUAUCGCUCCACCUUAUUAUUGAAGAUAAGCAUGAGAGGUUGUACCAAGGCAGUACAAUUUUUCAUAAGUACAGGCGGACGCCCAUCCACAUCCUAUUUAAAAGAAGACUUAAUAUCACAAAUAGCCUUGGCAAUAUCAUCCUGUGAAAGACACAGUGUUCCAAAAUUUAUGGAUGGAAGGCAACUUAUAUGGUUGUAUAUGUUUAAGCGGGAUAUUAUAAUGACAAAAUUCCUGAAUUGAUUUCUUAAAAAUGGAGAAACUAUUAGCUGUAUCUAGUCCCGAAAGUAAAUCAUCCCAUUUAAUCUCAGUGAGCAGAUUUUCGAGUCGUUCAAAAUCACUAAAUGCAAAAUUAAAACCAAGCCCAUCAAUAUUUAAAAUUUAACAGGAGCGAAAAGAUAAGUAUCCACCUCAAACGCUAACGGAAAAUGAUGUAUGGUAGCUGGAGUAAUUGAAGAGAAUCCAUCAAGAAACCUACAUCUUAAAUAAUCACUGAGAAAGACUAAGUCAAGAAAUCGAUCGAGACUAUUUGAAUAUCAGUUGAUUUGAAUCAGAUUGAGACUAAGCAAGCUAUCAAUGAGAAAUAACUCCUGAGAAGUGUUUGUUUUAGCGUACAAACCAGUGCUGCCACAUCGACGAAUUUUUCCGGAUUUUUCGAGGCUACAUACAUGUCAAUAUAAACCCAUACUUUUAUGCAAUUCGAUAUCCUUUAUUGUAUAUAAAUAGAGUCCUGGUGUCGAUUUAUAUAGAAAUGAUGUGAUGUGGGAUUUUUCCAUAUUUUUGAAUAUAAUGCAAUAGUUAUGGUAAUUUAUUAGUGCGUUCAUAAGCAAUUGACCUUACAAUGUUGAAGAUUUAUAGGUAUGGUUGUUCUGAUAUUUGGCAUGGCAGUUAAAUUUCUGAACAAAAAGACCAAACUGCAGGACUGGUAUGUUUACGUUUUAACUCCAUUUAGAUUGGCCCUUCAACAUAUAUUUCAAUGCAGAAAACAAUUUGUGUAAGUUUUAAUAUAUUUAUUUCCUAAUAUGAUGCAAUUUUGGUAAUACCUUUUUGUAAACAAAUUCUCAACUCCGGAGAUCUGCUAUGUUAUUUUUAUUUAUAUUACAAUGUAACGGUAUGCAAUUUAAUGGCAAUCUGUUCUACGAAAUACGAACCUACUGUAUUUAAAAACACAAACACUGUCAUUUCUGCAAUUUCUUGGGCAAUUAUUCGAGUUUAUUUAAUAUUUGUAAAAAGCAAAAAUGAAUAUUUAAGAAAAUAAUUUCAAAUGUUUGUCUAGUUAACGUGAUUAGAGGUACCAAUAUGACUUUUGACAUAAAUAAUACUUCAAUGCUUUCAAAAUUGUUCGAAUUUCCGAGACGUAAUGUAAGUGAGGGUCGCAACGCAUUAUUGUACAUUUACCAUUAUAAUAAAACUUCUUACUGCUACGAUUUAAAUUAAUAUUAAUACCUUGAGACGCACUUAGUAAUUAAACUUUGAAUAAAAUAUAAAAAUAUAAUAAAAUAUA